ACUGUUUUACGUGCGCAUCAUCAAGUUUGUCCCAAUUGCUUAGAAAGCAUCAUUGGGCUUGUUUGGUUUCUGUGUUAGCUACCUACUUGGAAGCGAGUGUCCCUUAUGUUUGUCUUUGUAUCGGCUUGCACCCUUUUAGGGGAAUGCUCGGUGAUCUUAGUAAUGCUUCUCAUAUUCCUUUGUCACGCUAUCACAGCAUAGUGGUGUCAACGGCCUAUGUGCAAGUAUUCGUAAUCUUGAAUGUGGAAUGCGUAAUCGGGUAAUCGGUCGAAUAAACCUUUUAUCCCGAGCAGAGCGUUUUACGCUCGGCACGUACGACACCUGUAAUUGCGUUGACCUUUCCCGACUUGAUUGACGGGGGGGCUCAUGYGAUGCA
rnacentral:misc_RNA from 1 species